UUCAGCUUGGUGCAGGGCCUGCGUUUGGAAGCAUCUGCUUCAGAGUGUUCCAGAGAAUGGCAGCCUCACACAAGCAUGAAGCGUUUAACUGUGCAACACAAAUCAAUAACUUGGGCUCCUAGAAUUCAGGGUGAGGUUUCACAGAGUGUCAGAGUUGAAAAGGAUCUUGGAGCUCACUGAUGAAGCAUUAACGACGAAGAGCCUGAGGCCAGAGAGAAUGUGCGAAGGACAGCCUGAGCUACAGUGCCGGUCUCCUCCCUCCUCCGCAGCCCUGCUGACCGCAGCUCUCCGUGGUUAUAAUACUGUCACUUCCCCGCUAGCCCAAGGAUCUGAAAAUACUUUUUGGAAUGAAUGAAGGAAUGUUCUCGCAUGUCAUCAUCCAGCCUCUGAGGUGCCUCUGACAACCAUAAUCGCCUCCUCAUGAAACCGCGCCCAGUUCCUCCUGUGACUCUUCCUGCUGCAGCCAUGGGCCUUGCUGUCCUGGCUGGGAACGCUGUUUUCAUCUUAUCUGGGGAUUCUCAUUGCUGACGGUGCUGGAGGCUGUGGGGCACAGUGGUUUCAAGCACAGGCUCUGGAGUCGGGCAAACCUGGGUUUCAGUAUUGCUCAGGAAACUCUUGGGCAGGAGGACUGUUGGUCAUGGUGUCCACUUAUGGUGAAUGAGAUGCCAGAGGACAGACGUAUGUUUAUUUUAUUGAUUAUUAAUUCAUGCAUGUGUACCUUCUCUGAAGAUAAAAAGAACUUGAGGCUGAAAGACCAGUCUAGCAUCCUGUAUUAUACAUAUUGGAGGCAGACAGCACAGGUGCCCUUGAGACAGUCCUUCUGAUGCAAGAGCAACUUUCAUUCUCUUUGCACCCUUGCACAGAGAGUCAAGCAACUAUGAGCUGGACUAUGAGUCUAUGAAGGGACAAGAUCCUGAAACAGCACCGCCCUGGGGGAAAGAACCAGUUUUGUCUCAAGUGACAGAGAGGUGGAGGAAAUUUGUUUUCUUCAAUUCCAUAUUUAUUACUUUUUGUUUGCUCUUAACUAUUCUAUUAUUCUGAGACACAUCUAGGUAGACAGGAUGGAGGUAAGGCACAGUCAAAAGCAUUGUAUUUAGGGAGGUAAUGAGAAACUGUGAAUUUGAAAUUACCAGACAGAUGUAACAAUCAAUAAACUAGGAACAUAGGAAUUGGAGGCGAGGCAAGGAUGGGUAAAAGAUAAAUGAUAUCAUCCCAGGUUUUCUAAGCUUGGAUAGGGGAGAAUGAAUUUGAGUUUGGAAUGAGAAUUUCUGGGAAUGGGGCUGAGCCUGGGCUAGUUGAAUUUUGAGAUGGAGCAGAAGCAUCUCUCCUUCUUCUGACCUUGCCCUGUAUCUUAUGACUAUGUCUUUAUUUAAUAAAUAUCUGAGCACCACUCAUGUUACAGGUAUUGGUAAAGCCACUGAGGAAGUAGCUAUGGAUAAGGCAAACAAAACUUCUUCCCAUGAGCUUACAUGUUAGUAGGGAAGGUAAAAACCAAUAACAAAAUCAUUUCAGAUGAUGAUGGAUGCUAUGAGGAUGACAAGAUAGAAAACCGUAAUAGAGAGUGAUUGAGAUAAGGUUUAUUUAGAUAGAGAAGUCACGGUAGACUUUUCUGGGGUGAUGUUGGAGCUGAAACCUGAACAAAGAGAAAGAACCAGCUCUCUAUUGAUAUUUGUGAUUCCAGGGAAACUACAGCUAAAGACAGUCAACUCCCCUGGUAACAUCCUAGAAAGGCUUGAGACUGUAUGCAUAACAAAGAAUGAGAAUUAAAAGGGGGGACCCAGACAGGAGGACACGUUGGAGCUUCGUACACGCAAGUUGACUUGCACCCUAUCCCCGUGUACAGAAUGACCUUUAGGCAGUAUUUACACCCUGGCAAAAGCAAACCAAACAGGCCAUAACUUUGAUUACAUCAGACAAACAAAAUAAAAUAGAAGUUCCUUUUAAGAAAUAUUAAAGAAGCCAUCUAGGAGAGCGGGUGUAGCUACUGCCUACCUAUGUAAAGUUUUCCGUAAUCUGGCACUGUUUUGAGGAAGAGGUGUGCUAGAAAAAUGACUGGUUUCCUGGUAGCUGAUAAAGUUUGAUUAUCUGUAAGUCUCACUCUGACUUCCUCUUUCUUUUUCUUCAGUCUUAAAUAUAUAUUGGUAAAAAUGAUUCAAGAUACUCCAGAAAAGUGUGCAAUGUUCAGCAAAGAAAUUUAAGUUAAAAAAAAUGGAAAAAAAUAAAGAUACAUGUAGAGAAUAGGAGUCCAAACAGAAGCAAACCCCAAAUACCCACCUUCUCUGCCAAUCACAUAAAAAAGGCAACACAGUAAUAAAGAUUAAGGAAUUACAACAAAUUACCGGAAAUUAAAAUUUGGAUUAUAAAAAAUUUAAUAGGAAAUUGAGAAGAUAAAAUAAAGUCUCCUUCACACAGUGAACAGGUAGCCAUCUGCAAGCACGAAGGGAGUCCCCACCAGAACCAGAACCAGACCAUGCUGGCACCCUGAUCUCAGACUUCCAGCCUCCUCAGAGCUGCAGUGAAAUAAAUUGCUAUUGUUGAAGCCAUCCAGUCUAUGGUUUUUGUUAUGGCAGCCCAAGCUAACACAGAUGAAUAAAUGCAAAGUUUAAUAGGUAAUUGGAAUUUAUAAGAAAAAUAAGUGGUACUUAAAAACUGAAAACAAAAUCUGAAAUUAAGUCAACUGAGCACAGCAAAACACCAGAAAGACAAGUAAAUCCAAACAGAAGUACAGAGAAAGAAUGCAAAACUCAUAGAGGAAUGUAAAAGACAUGAGGGUCGGUGUCAAAGGGGCUAAAGUAAGUAUUAUAAUGAUCACAGAAGGAGACGAAUCAGGGGAUGGUGGAGAGGCAAUAUGUGAAGAGAUAAUGGCUAAGAAUUUUCCAAUACUUUAUAUAAACGGAAUCAUAUAAUAUGAACUUUUUUGUGUUUGGCUUCCUUCACUCAACAUAAUUAUUUUGAGAUUUGU